AUUGAACGCUGGCGGCAUGCUUUACACAUGCAAGUCGAACGGUAACAGGCCGCAAGGUGCUGACGAGUGGCGAACGGGUGAGUAAUGCAUCGGAACGUGCCCAGUCGUGGGGGAUAACGCAGCGAAAGCUGCGCUAAUACCGCAUACGAUCUAUGGAUGAAAGCGGGGGACCGUAAGGCCUCGCGCGAUUGGAGCGGCCGAUGUCAGAUUAGGUAGUUGGUGGGGUAGAGGCUCACCAAGCCAACGAUCUGUAGCUGGUCUGAGAGGACGACCAGCCACACUGGGACUGAGACACGGCCCAGACUCCUACGGGAGGCAGCAGUGGGGAAUUUUGGACAAUGGGCGCAAGCCUGAUCCAGCAAUGCCGCGUGCAGGAAGAAGGCCUUCGGGUUGUAAACUGCUUUUGUACGGAACGAAAAGCUCUGGGUUAAUACCCUGGGGUCAUGACGGUACCGUAAGAAUAAGCACCGGCUAACUACGUGCCAGCCGCCGCCGUAACAC
rnacentral:rRNA from 1 species